rnacentral:rRNA from 1 species
CUCCACCGCUUGUGUGAGCCCCCGUCAAUUCCUUUGAGUUUCAGCCUUGCGACCAUACUCCCCAGGCGGGGUACUUAACACUUUUGCUUCGGCAGUGAACCCAUGUUAAGUCCACUACCUAGUACCCAUCGUUUAGGGCUAGGACUACCGGGGUAUCUAAUCCCGUUCGCUACCCUAGCUUUCGCGCAUCAGCGUCAGAAGAGGUCCAGCACGUCGCUUUCGCCACCGGCGUUCCUUCCGAUAUCAACGCAUUUCACCGCUCCACCGGAAGUUCCACAUGCCCCUACCUCACUCAAGACAGCCAGUAUCAAAGGCCAUUUCCCGGUUGAGCCGAAAGAUUUCACCCCUGACUUGACCGCCCGCCUACGCGCCCUUUAAGCCCAGUGAUUCCGAACAACGUUUGCACGGUUCGUCUUACCGCGGCUGCUGGCACGAACUUAGCCCGCGCUUCCUCCAG